UACGGCGAAUACGUUCCCGGACCUUGUACACACCGCCCGUCAAGCCAUGGAAGCUGGGUGUACCUAAAGUCGAUAACCGUAAGGAGUCGCCUAGGGUAAAACUAGUAACUGGGGCU
rnacentral:rRNA from 1 species